GGCCGCUUGGCGCAAUGGUAGCGCAUCGUGUUUCUACUUUAUGCCGUUUUCCGCGAGGGUUGCGGGUUCGAGUCCCGUGGCGGCCU